UGUCCAGGGGCGGGAAUCGAACCCACAACCUUCUGCUUACCGGGCAGGUGCCAUGUCCACUAGGCUACCGC